rnacentral:rRNA from 2 species
UGCAGUCGAGCGAACAGAUAAGGAGCUUGCUCCUUUGACGUUAGCGGCGGACGGGUGAGUAACACGUGGGUAACCUACCUAUAAGACUGGGAUAACUUCGGGAAACCGGAGCUAAUACCGGAUAAUAUUUCGAACCGCAUGGUUCGAUAGUGAAAGAUGGUUUUGCUAUCACUUAUAGAUGGACCCGCGCCGUAUUAGCUAGUUGGUAAGGUAACGGCUUACCAAGGCGACGAUACGUAGCCGACCUGAGAGGGUGAUCGGCCACACUGGAACUGAGACACGGUCCAGACUCCUACGGGAGGCAGCAGUAGGGAAUCUUCCGCAAUGGGCGAAAGCCUGACGGAGCAACGCCGCGUGAGUGAUGAAGGUCUUCGGAUCGUAAAACUCUGUUAUUAGGGAAGAACAUACGUGUAAGUAACUGUGCACGUCUUGACGGUACCUAAUCAGAAAGCCACGGCUAACUACGUGCCAGCAGCCGCGGUAAUACGUAGGUGGCAAGCGUUAUCCGGAAUUAUUGGGCGUAAAGCGCGCGUAGGCGGUUUUUUAAGUCUGAUGUGAAAGCCCACGGCUCAACCGUGGAGGGUCAUUGGAAACUGGAAAACUUGAGUGCAGAAGAGGAAAGUGGAAUUCCAUGUGUAGCGGUGAAAUGCGCAGAGAUAUGGAGGAACACCAGUGGCGAAGGCGACUUUCUGGUCUGUAACUGACGCUGAUGUGCGAAAGCGUGGGGAUCAAACAGGAUUAGAUACCCUGGUAGUCCACGCCGUAAACGAUGAGUGCUAAGUGUUA